AAACUUUCAACAAUGGAUCUCUUGGCUCUCGCAUUGAUGAAGAACGCAGCGAAAUGCGAUAAGUAAUAUGAAUUGCAGAAUUCCGUGAAUCAUCAAAUUUUUGAACGCAAAUUGCACUUCUUGGUAUUCCAAGGAGUACACAUGCUUGAGGGUCAGUU
rnacentral:rRNA from 1 species